AGAUGCAUCUGGCUGUGACAGCUGUCACUCCAUUGAUCGCCAGCAUUGAUUCGGCUCAUCCGGCUGGCUAGGGGGGUUUCCCCUUCCUGCCACACCGUGCUCCAUUUGUGUCCCUCUGGAAGCUGAGCUGUAGGUCACAGAUGACGACCAUCCCCUAAAGAGGAGGACCAUCUAUGAGUAGCUGCGCUCCCCUGCUAGACCCUCUAAACAAGCUCUCAGGCAGUGUAAUUUUUUUUAGAAAGAUAAAGUCAAAUCUCAACAAAAUAAGUACCAGGAAAUGGGUGCUU
ensembl:misc_RNA 7SK 7SK RNA